GGAGUUGACUGGGUAGUCGCUGCUUCGUUGAUGUCCUACGGUUUAUCCUGUGGAGACUGACGGAGGGGAGGAAAGUCCGGGCUCCAUAGAGCAGGGUGCCAGGUAACGCCUGGGGGGCGAAAGCCCACGACAAGUGCAGCAGAGAGAAAACCGCCGAUGGCACUUUUAGUGCACAGGUAAGGGUGAAAGGGUGCGGUAAGAGCGCACCGUGCGGCUGGCAACAGUCCGUAGCAAGGUAAACUCCACCCGGAGCAAGACCAAAUAGGCUUCCAUAUAGCGUUGCUCGCGUUAGGGAGCGGGUAGGUUGCUUGAGCCAGUGAGCGAUUGCUGGCCUAGACGAAUGGCUACCGCCGCGCAAGCGGAACAGAACCCGGCUUACAUGUUAACUCCCCAC
rnacentral:RNase_P_RNA from 1 species